AUCCUGGCUCAGGAUGAACGCUGGCGGCGUGCUUAACACAUGCAAGUCGAACGAAGCACUUUAAUUGAUUUCUUCGGAAUGAAGUUUUUGNGACUGAGUGGCGGACGGGUGAGUAACGCGUGGGUAACCUGCCUCAUACAGGGGGAUAACAGUUGGAAACGACUGCUAAUACCGCAUAACACAAGUAAUUCGCAUGAAUAACUUGCCAAAGAUUAUAUCGGUGUGAGAUGGAUCCGCGUCUGAUUAGCCAGUUGGCGGGUAACGGCCCACCAAAGCGACGAUCAGUAGCCGACCUGAGAGGGUGACCGGCCACAUUGGGACUGAGACACGGCCCAAACUCCUACGGGAGGCAGCAGUGGGGAAUAUUGCACAAUGGGGGAAACUCUGAUGCAGCGACGCCGCGUGAGUGAUGAAGUAUUUCGGUAUGUAAAACUCUAUCAGCAGGGAAGAUAAUGACGGUACCUGACUAAGAAGCACCGGCUAAAUACGUG
rnacentral:rRNA from 1 species